UUGGAUGAAAUUAAUGUGGAUCUCAUACUUUAGAAAUGGAUCCCGCAUGAAGUGAUAGAGUCCACAUUGAUUUCAUCCAA
rnacentral:pre_miRNA from 1 species